rnacentral:lncRNA from 1 species
CGGGACGUCACCUGGGUGCUCGCGUCCUCCCCGCGCGGCGGACAGCCCGGGCGCCCUUCCUCUCUGCGGGACUGCAGGUCUAUCCGCUAAGCGCGCGUGACCAAAAACGGCUCUCAGCGGGUCCCAGCUGACGGAAGGUGGGGGAGGAGUGCGAGGGUCUCUGAGACAGGUUGGGAGCCAGCCCCACCUCCAUUUCCAAAGCGGGGGUCCAGGCACAGGAACAGCCAAACGCCCGAACCAGCGGGGUUACCUUUGCCACUUCAUCCAAUCCGAGCAUCGGCUGACAAGUUUAUUUAAUCCCUGAACCUGGAUCCAAGGCAUCUCCCUGUAGAAAACAUCAGACCGGGGCAGAGAUUGACAAAGCAACCCAAAGCAGCAGCUGCCAACGGCCGCUGUGCCCACCUCAUCAGCAGCUAAAGAGUAUAAUUUUAAAAAAAGUCACAGAAGAAUGUGGAGACACUUAGCAAAACGGACUCUCAUAAGGUUCCCUAUUUUGUCAGUAAGGAAGUAAACAACCGCUAAAACAACCCUCUAACAACAGAAGACCCUCAUGAGAACACCAGGCAGCAGAAGCUUCUUUAGCAGUAAAAGAUAUCUGGAUAUUCAUAUUUUGUUCCAUGAUCUUCAACAUUAAAUAAAUAAACUUAAUAUUCAAGUCUCCUUCUGCAUUCCUAGAAGAGGAUGUU